GUGCUUUCAAAGCAAAACUUCACUCAUUUCCAUAAAAAUUAUUUCAGUCAGCAGCAGCUUGAAUAUUUUCACAAAAAUGUGACUAAUAAAGGCUAUAAACCGCAGUAUAUUGGGUGUACGUGCUUUUGCUUCAUAUAAACUUGCCAAGCAACAACACAUUUAUUAAGUUUAAGUUAAGUUUUAAGGUUCGUCCUCAUUUUCCAGGUAAACAGAUAUUUAUGCCUUAACACAGUUUUUGAGAUAUCGAUCUGAAAUUUUGCACAUAUUCUUUUCUCGCCAAGAAACUGCUUAUUAAUUGGAAUCGCUGAAAUCGAACAACUACAACUACUUGUAUAGCAGAUAGCGGUCAUAUAAACUGACCGAUCAAAAUCAAGAUAAAGACCUUUUUAUACCUGUUUAUGAUAUAGCACCUGUAAAGAAUGCUUUAAUCGAUGUUAUAACAUGGAAUUUUUCCUCCGAAAUGGCUAUUAGAAACUUUUGUAUCGUAUCACGGUGUCAGUGAGUAGAAAAGGAUGAACACGAUUCGAAAAAAUAUUUGUUGCAAAUUGUUGGACACACAUAUAUGGUACAUAUAUGUAUGUGUCAUCGAAUAUGGUAUUAUAUUUUUUUACACACAUUAGUUGUAACGCCGGAAAUAAUCAAAUAAAAAGUUACGGCCUGGCAAGAUCAUUCCACACGCCCAUAAUUUAAGCGCACUUAAACAUUACCAACUACAAAAACAACCAUAAUAAAAACACUUUGGCACAAUCAGGCAUGC